UACGGGGGGGAGCAAGCGUUGCUCGGAAUCACUGGGCGUAAAGGGUGCGUAGGUGGUCAGGUAAGUCUGAUGUGAAAUCUCUGGGCUCAACCCAGAAACUGCAUUGGAUACUAUCUGGCUAGAGGAGUGGAGGGGGGGACUGGAAUACUUGGUGUAGCAGUGAAAUGCGCAGAUAUCAGGAGGAACACCGGUGGCGAAGGCGGGUCUCUGGGCCGAUACUGACGCUGGAGGAGCGAAAGCGUGGGGAGCGAACAGG
rnacentral:rRNA from 1 species